UCAUAAGCCAAUCAUCCUGCUAAUUAAGUGUAUUCUGAGAUUGUAGGCAUGGGCAAUGACCAAAGGUCCAGCAUCCUAUUGUCAAUUUUCAGCAGCUUAAU